rnacentral:misc_RNA from 1 species
CCCUUGUGGAGGAGGACGCCGAAGGUGGGGCUAAUGACUGGGGUGAAGUCGUAACAAGGUAGCCGUACCGGAAGGUGCGGCUGGAUCACCUCCUAACAGGGAGACAACAAAAUGUUAAAUAUUAAUUUUGUCACCUUAGGUCGAUCGGUAUCUCACAUUCUUAAUUUAUUUAAGGAUUUUAUUUCCUAAGUUUUUUCUAGGUCACACCCAUUUUUUUCCUGGGCCAUUAGCUCAGGUGGUUAGAGCGCACCCCUGAUAAGGGUGAGGUCCCUGGUUCAAGUCCAGGAUGGCCCAUAUCUCUAUGUUGGGGGUAUAGCUCAGUUGGUAGAGCGCCUGCUUUGCAAGCAGGAUGUCAGCGGUUCGAGUCCGCUUACCUCCACUGAUUACCACCUCUUCCAUAAUUUAUAGAAGGGAAAUUUUUGAGUUGUGAUCAUUAUUCUGAACGAAUCUAGCUUCCUAAUGAAAACCAUUAAGAUGCUGGACUCAUUGAAUUAAUUUCAUUGUUUUCAGAGAACCUUGACAACUGCAUAGAUUAUUUUUAAAGACAAUAAGCAUCUUUAAUGAUGCAGAUUUAUUAUUUGUGCGAAUGCAUUAAUAACAAUUCUAUUAAGCUGAUGCUUCAAUUUUUGAAGUUAUUGGUCAAGCUACAAAGGGCUCACGGAGGAUACCUAGGCACACAGAG